UGAACUCCUGACCUCAUGAUCCACCCACCUCGGCCUCCCAGAGUGCUGAGAUUACAGGUGUGAGCCACUGUGCCCAGCCAAGAAGCCAUUCUUAUCAUCAGAGGGAGGGAGUCCGGGCCAAGGGGAAUCUGUGUGAACAAACCUUGUUAAACUAACGCUCAUCUGCCUUGUCACUUCUCCACGAUGAACUGCCUUAGCCCAAACCUCUUUGUCUUGUCACGUUCUCACAAUUCACUACUCUCUGUCCAACUAAGUAUAUAAGCUUUCGGCCCUAACGGCUUCUUGAGCCUUCAUUUUGCUUGUGAAUGCUCCCA
rnacentral:lncRNA from 1 species